AGAAGUCACUAAUGGUGUUCCUAAUGUUAGAUUUCAGGUUUGAUUGGGUUUGAGUAGAGUUCUCAUGAGUUUUCAAUAAAAGUGAUAAAAGUAUCAAAUCAAAUAAAAUGGCAUUGAUAAAUUAAGUGUUUUUAAUACUUUAUUAUUACGUUCCUAACCCUAAUUUACUGUUUCAGUUGAAUGUUGUAGUCAAGAAAGUAGUCAAGACAUGAAAG
rnacentral:lncRNA from 1 species